CAUAAUCAUUAGUUUUUUAAUUGAAAGCUUGUAUGAAUGGUUGAACAAAAAAAAUUCUGUCUCUUUUUUAAAAAUUGAAUUUAACUUUUAAGUGAAAAGGCUUAAAUUUUUUAAGGGGACGAUAAGACCCUAUAAAGCUUUAUAAUAAAAUAAUAAUUUUUUGAUACACGCAAAUAAAAAAAUAUAUUUAUUUUUUAUUUUAUUGGGGCGAUAAAGAUAUAAAUUUUAUAUAACUGUUAGCAGAUAAAUCAUAUAUUUAUGGAUUAAUAAAUGAUCCUUAUUUAAAGAUUAAAAGACAAAGUUACUUUAGGGAUAACAGCGUUAUUUCUUUUGAGAGUUCUUAUUGAAAAAGAAGUUUGCGACCUCGAUGUUGAAUUAAAAAAUCUUUACAGUGCAGCCGUUGUAAGAA
rnacentral:rRNA from 1 species